CCUACGGGAGGCAGCAGUGGGGAAUAUUGCACAAUGGGCGCAAGCCUGAUGCAGCAACGCCGCGUGAGCGAAGAAGGUCUUCGGAUCGUAAAGCUCUGUCCUCAGGAACGAAGAAGUGACGGUACCUGAGGAGGAAGCCCCGGCUAACUACGUGCCAGCAGCCGCGGUAAU
rnacentral:rRNA from 1 species